ACAAAGGGAUGCCCGAAGUUUGUCCGCAGCAGGAUCUCCAUGCUCCAUGGCGCUUCUUUCUUUUCUAGUCUCAAAACCCUCACUCAAAACCUCCUUUCUUCCCCUCACUUCUCACUUAAUUCCCAUCAUACCUUCUUCCCCUCUCUCUUCUCACUGCACCACCUCCACUUUCCCAUUGCCUUCUCAAUCACCUCCUGUGCCAAAGAAACGACCUUUCAAUGUCUCUGCUCAUACCAAAACAUGGCAAGAUCCUUAUCAUUGGAUGAGAAACGCUAAAGACCCUGAAUUUGUUGAUUAUCUCAACCAAGAAAACUCCUAUGCUCAAGCUUUCAUGGCCGACACUCAAAACCUGCAGAGGACUUUGCUUGAGGAAAUGAAAAAUCGAUUACCUACUCAGAUUUCAACUCCUCCUGAGCGCUGGGGUCACUGGCUGUACUACCAGUACAUUCCUGAAGGGAGGGAAUACCCAGUUCUAUGUAGAAGGUUGGAAACUGAGGAAAGUGGUUUGUUAAAGACACUUCUCAAUUAUGCCAAGGGACAUUUUGGGAUGGAGCAAGUUUUGCUUGACUGGAACCAAAUAGCUGAACAAUACGGUUAUGUGCAUGUGGGUACAUGUCGGGUUUCACCAGAUCACAAGUUUCUUGCAUACACACUUGACAUUACUGGCAAUGAACAAUUCUUACUUCAAGUUAAGGACCUCAGCAAUGGAUAUAUUGUUUCACGAUCACAAGUUGAUGGGGUUGUUAGUUUGGCAUGGGCUCAAGAUAGCACUACUUUGUUCUACACAGUGUCGGAUGAGAAUCAACGACCAUACAGGGUUCUCUUCACAAAACUAGGAUCAGAUGAGAUAGAUGAUGUCCCAGUAUUUACAGAAAGUAAUUCAAGUUUUUGUGUGGAUAUAACAAGCACAAAAGAUGGCAAGUUUAUCACUGUGAACUCAAAUUCAAGAACGUCAUCCGAGGUUUAUGUGAUAGAUGCAACCAACCCGCUGGAUGGUUUACAAAGAGUACGCGAGUGUGUUUCUGGAGUGCGAUAUUUUUUGGAACAUCACUAUGGUGUGUUCUAUAUCCUUACAAAUGCUCCUUUAAGUGAAAGUGAGGACCGGUCAGAUGGAAAUUAUUAUUUGGCUCAAUGCCAAGUUGAAGAUAUACAAUCUUCUGAUUGGCAGAAUAUCAUCCUUCCAAGUGAAGAUAUGAGCUUUCAAGACAUGGACAUUUUUAAUGGACAUUUGGUCCUUUUUGUCAAUAAGAAGAACUUUCCUGCAUUAUGUUCCAUCAAUUUGCCAAUCAAGUUUAACAGUGUGAAUCAGUUGGAGAUUGAGAAUCUUGAUCCAUGGUUUUUUCCCCUGCCCUCAAGUCAAUGUAACAUCGUUCCAGGAUCAAACCAUGACUUCAUGAACCCAGUAUACCGUGUGGUGCUGUCAUCUCCAGUGAUGCCUGGUGUGGUUGUUGACUAUAACAUGUCAGAACGGAUAUUUUCGAUUGUGCAACAAGAGAAAGUAAGAGAUAUUUCUGGUGAUUGUGGAUCAUGCUCACUGGCUUAUGAGCUAGAUACUUCUGAAUAUCUUGACCCACUAAACGAUAAGGACAAAAAUAACUUGAAUAUUGAAUUGCAAAGAUGGAAAGACUUUUCUGGUGCAUAUUGCUGCAAAACAAAGGAAGUCAUUUCCCAUGAUGGUGUCAGGGUUCCUCUGACCAUUUUGUACUCCCGAAAAGCCUGGCGGAGGGGUCAAUCUCCUGGACUAUUAGAGGGCUAUGGAGCAUAUGGGGAAGUUCUAGAUAAAAGCUGGUGCUCAGACCGCCUGAGUUUACUUGAUCGUGGUUGGGUGCUGGCCUUUGCUGAUGCGAGGGGUGGCGGCGGUCAUUCCUCGUGGCAUAAAUACGGCAGUGGGUUGAACAAAUGCAAUUCAAUAUAUGACUUCAUAUCAUGUGGCAACUACCUAGUUUCUGAGGGCUAUGUUCAUAGAGAUCGGCUAGGUGCCAUUGGAUUUAGUGCAGGGGGUCUUCUUGUUGGGGCAGCAAUCAAUAUUAACCCAAAUUUAUUUCGUGCUGCCAUUUUGAAGGUUCCAUUUCUUGAUGCAUGCAACACGUUGCUAGAUCCAAGUUUGCCUCUCACCUUGCUGGACUACGAAGAAUUUGGGAAUCCUCAGAUACAGUCGCAGUUUGAGUCCAUUUUAAGUUAUUCUCCUUAUGAUAACAUUCCUCGUGAUGCUUGCCUUCCAUCAAUGCUUGUAACUGCAUCUUUUCAUGACUCAAGGGUUGGAGUUUGGGAAGCUGCCAAAUGGGUGGCAAAAACACGAGACAUUGCAUGUUCUCAUUGUUCUCGUUCAGUCAUUCUGAAAACAAAUAUGACUGGAGGGCAUUUUGGUGAAGGCGGUUGCUAUAGUCAAUGUGAAGAAACAGCUUAUGAUUAUGCUUUUCUGAUGAAAACUAUAGGAAAUGUGAAUGGCAAUAAAUAAGACUAGACUGCCUGUAAAGCAUGAUUUCUAUGUUGCAAUCCUACUUCCAGCACUCGAUUUCCCAUCUUGCGGAUGGUCAAUACAAGGUAAAUGUUUCUAGACGAUUCUUAAUUAGUUCAUGAUUUUAAAUUAGAUGAUUUUUUCUUUUUCAGUUUUUGUUUCUGUUUCUGUUUCUGUACUUCGAAGAUGAAAUUUGUUCCUGCUGUACUAACGAAGAGAACAUGAAAACAGCGGCUGAAGGUCAUCGGUUGUAUGUUUCAAUCGUCCAGUCAUAGAUCUUUUUCUUUCUCCACUUGAAUUAUUAAGAUGUGCUGGUCUGUUUUUUAUAAGAAUUGUAGAACAGUCUGCAGAAUUACUGCGUGAUCACACAUGCUCGCUUAGAGAUUGCUUCCAUUUAGACAAUUAAUGAUCCGAAAGUGAUAUAUAUGUAGCACUUGGAACACACAACUGUUUGAUCUAUGGUACCAGAUUGGAGUACUUACAUGGGAUGCUUUCUCCUUUAUAAUGAAGACAGCUCAUGCAUGUCGGGGAAACGUGAAAACCAGCAAGAAGAUUCCAGGUCAGCACAGAGAAAGGGUCGUGUCUGCUACAAACAGUUGAAGCAUCAUACGACAUUCUUGCCUAGAUGUUAGAGCCUCCUGUUCUGUAGGAGUCGUUAUGACAAGCAAAUAUCCAACAACCAGGUGGCAUCCCUCAUCGUAUUUUGGACUGUAGGCCUCUAGAAGCUGUAAAAUAUCAAAUAAUUUUAACCUAUGAUAAACCUCAUGUUUUUCGGUACGCUCUCCGUAUUCAUAUAAAGGCACUUUCUCCAUCCUGUAUUGACAUCUAUCAAGCUCAGCGGAUAACGAUCGGUUAAGACGUAAAAAAAGAGAGGAUACCUGUCAAAGCAACCUUUUGUCAUUUUUAC